GUAACGCUUGCCUCGCCGCAGCCUCGUCCCUAAUUUAUACGGCUUUUCGGAGAUGCUGCCGACGGCCAGACGCGGCCGCGCGAGCGUCGCCUCGCGUGGCAACUUCCCUCCGCCCCCGAGCGCUAAACCUCACACUUGCGGAUAACACUGGCCCUUUCCUGCCGACAAAUCUGGGGGCUAGUCCGAUGUCGUGUCUCGCGUGCUGUGGUCUGAAUGAACGUGCGCAUGAGGAGCUGAAUGUAGGCUUAUUUGACCCUCAUCUUGCUCCUACGAGUUAAGGUGAAUCUUAAAGUAGAGCGGCCAUGACAGCUGAUGUACUGUUUGAUCAUUCUAGACUAUCCUUCAGCAGGAGCGUCGCCGUACAGCAUGAGCGGAACACCGGGCCCCAUGAUGUCCCCGCCGCCCGCAGAGGAUUCCAUGGGCUACGGCAUGCCUGGCAUGAACGGUUCAGGAUACUCAGGGGGCAUGGGCUACGACCUCCACCCGGAGUCGCCUGACGUGUAGGCGGCGCCCACACAUCCGCCCACGCCCAGCCCGCCCUCCACCCACACCCAAACAGCAAUAAGACGCGUGGGCGGUUAGCGGGUUGUGGAGUCCGGGCCGGCGUGGUGAGGGUUGCCUGGCGGGCCUUGCCAUCGGUUCCCAGUGUGGUGGAGGCCAUCCCUUGGUGCCAGGCUGCCCUCCCCCGCCCCCUCACUACCUCCCGCGGCCCACCCAUCCUUCACACACAAAGUGCAGGCCGUGUAACUCCGGCCCACCAGCCACGAUCGGGCUGCAUGUGGCUCACUCUGGCCAAGCCACGCUGUGACGUUUUGUGCCACACGGGCUGCAUGUGGCCCACCUCAGGCAACAGUGAUCAGAGCUGUCAGCCCAGUGUGCAGGCAGCGGGCCGCCGCCGUGCGCCCUGCACCUGAGCGGGACCAGCGCGGCCCGCCCAGCCCACAGUAUACGAGAGCCGGGGCGGGUAGCCACCCUUGGCCGCUCCUCACACCACACUGCCGCUGCCUAUGCCCACCUCUCGCCCACGGGUGACGCUCUCAUGACCCAUAGCGCUACGCCAUCUUGACACCCACUCAUCCACAAGGUUGGCCAGCACCACCUGCCCAUGGCCACAGUGUUGUGAGCACACCCACCACUCCUGCACCCACACCUGGACCGCCAUCUCGAGUAAGGGUCCAAGCUUGAUGAGAUUGCCGAAGGAAACAGUGAUGCAUUAAUCUGUCUUUUACGAUAAGUAGCCAUGUAAAUAUGAAUGAAUGAAUAAAGUAAGUUACAGGUAUAAAAGUUCGCGCAUUUUGGGUGUGGAGUGGGUGUGGCACACUCAUGUGGCAUGAGAAGUGAUGCUGAGCAAAGUGGAGGUGGACACUCCCACACCAGGGAGCCCCAGAACCAUGUAUACGGUUGGUAUGUGAUAGUCACACUCGUGUUGCUUAUAUGUGUAGGCUUUUAAUAAAGUUUCUGCUGUUUGAACAUUCUUUAAAAAAUACACACAUGUUCCUCAUUGGCGAGUGAGCCAAAUGUACUUAGCGUCACCCCCGGCGAGGUAGGCUGCAGUAUGACUAGCGGCCCUCCCGCCCCGCGCGGCCAUCAUGGUCCGUAGUGCCCAGCAGGCGGUCCGCGGCGACCCGUACAAGCCUCUGUAUCCAUGUAGCGUAGGAGAGUGUGGCCAGAGAGGCCCGGCUGCCCCCCCGGCCCUGCACACGUUCCACUGGGCGGCCCACCACACCCCGGCGCGGCCACAGGGCCACAACGCCCAGUGGGGCCCCAUCCAACCCAGUAUACGUACUCUGGACGGCAGCAGCACCAAGACUGGAAAAAAGCAAUGGUCAGACCGAACUGGCUCUCAAGAUGUCUGUUUGUUGUUUCAACGCACAUUGGGUGUUUCUGUUGUUUCUGUUUGUGUUCCAUUGUGUUCUGAUGGGUUGUGUAAUUGUGUGUGUGUGCUGGUCCCUGACUGGCCCGAGUACUGUGUCUGCUCUUGUAGAAGUCGUCGGGUGUGGCCCCCAGUCAGCGGGGUUCCUCCGCGAGGCCGGGCUGGCCGCACCCGGUUGGGAGGCGAAUGGUCACAUCUACACUGCAUGUGUGGCCUCUCGAGGCCAGAUGUGUAGCUCCUGUAGAUGUAGCCAUAGGAAAAGAUCGGCGCGGUACCUCCCAGCCCAUUCUCAAAGCAGCACAGAUGGUAGGGCGGCCUCCUUGUGGGGCUGCCCGCUUGAUGCAGGGUAUUACCUAGGAGAAGACGAGACCACACAGAUGAUCUUGUGAUACACUGGAUAAUGAACACUAAAGGACCUGGAACCUUGAAGUAGGUCUAUUUUUAUAUGGAUAGAUAACACUUGAAAAUCGAAUGGGAAAAAGUUAGAUGGUCUUGUGUAACUGUAUAUUAUUAGUAUGGAUAGAAAAAUUCUAAUACUCUUUGAAGUCCGUUUAACAUUUGGUAAUGUUAAGUCCUUUUCCAUACGGUUUGUACGGUAGUGUAAGGGCAGCAACGGGUCCCUGUGGCGCGCUUGUGCCGGCCCGACGGACCCGGGGCUCGCCAAGCGCGCAUGUUUGUAUGGGUAGUGCAGGAGUAGUGCAAGGUAGCUAGACCACAAGUAUACAGUGAUAAUACUGCAGUAUACGAAAAACAAUGUUCUUCAUUGACAAAAGUAUAACUACAAAGAAUAAGCAGAGUAGCCUGCCCUCUUUUCAUGACCUGUUAGCAUUAUUUUGACUCCUGUAGCCAGCUAAAGGGCCGUCAUCUCGUUUCCUGAUUUUUCUGAGCCGCUGAGGUGUACCGUAGUUGUCUCCAUGUAACUUACAGCUCUCUUCUGUCUCUUUUCGCUGUUCGCUGUAGUGAAUGAUGCAAGAAUAAAUCUCCUGUAUUGAAUACUUAUGAAUAACUGUAAAUGUAUUGCUAUGUGUCCUCUCCAAUACCGUCCUGUACCAAAAUACGUAAUUUUCUCACAAUUCUUGUAGAGAUACUGUGUAUUUUUGCUGUGUAUUUGUUCCAGUUUUGUAAUAGUAUAUGUAGUACAAUCUUACUACUGUUUCUCCCCCUUUAGGACGGUAUAGGAUAGACAGCAAGAUUGGUUCAUUCUUACUUACACAUUUAAGCAUAUUUUCCAUGUAACCAGUUAUUGUUUUCAUUGUUUAGCCGCCUUAUUUAUGUAGGAUGGGACAUUUUGAGGUACCCACCUAAUUUCUAAGAUUACAUUUUAUUUCAUUUUUGAGCAAGAGUUGUGUGCUUGUACAGUAGAAUCCAUUGCGGAGGCGAAAGAUAAGUGCUACUUAUGUUUCCAAGCGCGGCAAAGUGGGCAAGUAAAAGUGAGCGCAAGGUACUCCACCCAAGACCCGAACUCCCGUAGGUAAUCAGUUGCCAAUGUCCCUGCUCUCUCAGCUGCAACCCGUUUUCUAUGAGACAGUUUUUUAUUAUUGUUCAUUGCCCAAUUUGUCUCCUGCCUGGAAGCAUUCCAUCCACUCAUUUCACUUAGUUAACUUAACCAUUCUAACCUCUUUGCUACGUGAGUGUGAAGUACAUGUACAUUAUAUUUGUCUUUUGUAUUGUCAUGCAUAUAAGUUGCAUUGUAAGUAUUUUGGCUGAAAAAAGAGCCAGUCCUCACGAUGAUAUUAAUUACCAUGAUGUUUUGUUAGAUUCUGCAGUGAGCUGCGGACCUCUUUGUGUUUAAGGUUUAACUGAAAGCUCAAACUAGAUUAUUUUAGUGUCAGGUACAGGAUAUUCUUGGUUGCAUUUACUAAAAAUGCUGUAGCCGCUACCCGUGACAGUGAGCCAUCCGUUAGAGAGGGUUACGACCUAGUGAUCGCUCAGUGUCACGGUUGCCCGCCAUGGUCCCUCGGUAUACCAGCAGGCCAGUGGUGCAGGGGUAGUGCACGCUGCUCUCGCCUCUUUAGCAAACAAUGUCAAAUUCUUGGUGUAGAACGUAAGGUGUCCUCGGCCGCAUGGUGGCGGCCAGCGUGCGCUACUCCCCUCCCGAGUGGCCGAAGGCAGGGAGGAGCACCACUGGGCCAGAGACGAAGAAGCACUGUUUAUAUGUACUGUAACAUACAAACUUUUACUAUUAGGUAUGAAUGUUAUCAAAUAAAUGAUUUCAAAGGCUAAA